UACGUAGGGUGCAAGCGUUAAUCGGAAUUACUGGGCGUAAAGCGUGCGCAGGCGGUGAUGUAAGACAGGUGUGAAAUCCCCGGGCUUAACCUGGGAACUGCAUUUGUGACUGCAUCGCUGGAGUGCGGCAGAGGGGAUGGAAUUCCGCGUGUAGCAGUGAAAUGCGUAGAUAUGCGGAGGAACACCGAUGGCGAAGGCAAUCCCCUGGGCCGAUACUGACGCUGAGGAGCGAAAGCGUGGGGAGCGAACAGG
rnacentral:rRNA from 1 species